rnacentral:lncRNA from 1 species
UUUGAUUAGGAUUUUUUUAGGAUUUGACUAGGAUUUAUUUAAGAUUUGACUAGAAUUUAUUUAAAAUUUGGUUAGAAUUUGUUUAAGAUUUGAUUAGAAUUUAUUUAAGAUUUAUUUAGAGAUUGGUUAGGAUUUGUUUAGGAUUUGACUAGAAUUUGGUUAAGAUUUUUUUAAGAUUUGAUUAAGAUUUGAUUAGGAUUAUUACAAUUUGACUAGAAUUUAUUUAGGAUUUGAUUAGGAUUUGACUAAGAUUUCACUAGAAUUUGAUUAAGUUUUGACUAGGAUUUAAUUAUGGUUUGUAUUUUAAUAUUUUAUUAAGGUUUCUAUUUUAUUAUAUUUUUGAAUUUUUAUGUUAUUUCUUUAUAAUUCUUUAAAGGAUCUCUAAGAAUACUUUGUAUUUUUUAUAUAAUUCUUUUGAAAUUUUGAUUGAAUUUAAUUGAUAUUUGAUUAUAUUUGCUAAUCUUUAAUUAUAAUUUAUUUAAAAAUCUAUUAGAGUUGUUAAAUUUUUUUUUUUGUAAUUUUCCUUUUAUCUUCCACAACCAAAUGCUCGGUGCAUUCUCAAAUCAAAUUUCACAUAAUACAACAACAUCAACUUUUUUAAGUAAUUUUUUUAUAAAAACAAAUAAAUCAAACUUUGCUUUGAAUGUCGUAUUGU